rnacentral:lncRNA from 7 species
CGGCAGCGCUGCGGCGCGGAGCCCCACGGAGGACGCGGCCACCUUUCUGCAUGCGCCGGCGCGCAGCGCGUGCCCUGCGACCGCAACGCAUGCACAUCCGGCCCCAACCCGGCUCCGCCCCCCGAGCCACGUCUGCCCCAUAACCCAGCUCUGCCCCCUAACCCAGCUCUGACCCCCAGCUCUGCCCCCUAACUCAGCCCAUAACUUAGUUCUGCCCCCUGAGCCACGUCUGCCCCAUAACCCAGCUCUGCCCCCUAACUCAGCCCCAUAACUUAGUUCUGCCCCCUGAGCCACAUCUGCCCCAUAACCCAGCUCUGACCCCCAGCUCUGCCCCCUAACUCAGCCCCAUAACUUAGUUCUGCCCCCUGAGCCACAUCUGCUCCCUAACUCAGCUCUGCCCCAGCUCUGCCCCUCACCCACUCAGCUCUGCCCCCUAACUCGGCUCUGCCCCCUAACUCAGCUCUGCCCCCUAACCCAGCUCCGCCCCCUAAGUCAGCUCCACCCCCUGACCCAGCUCUGCCCCCUAACGCCACUCUGCCCUAACUCAGCUCUGCCCCCUAACUCAGCUCUGCCCCCUAACCCAGCUCUGCCCCCUAACUCGGCUCUGCCCCCUAACCCAGCUCUGCCCCAUAGCUUACUUCUGCCCUCGAACCCACUUCAGCCCCCAACCCACCCAGCUCUGCCCCCAGCCCACUCCGUUUGCCCCCUGACCCCCCCCAUUUUCGCCCCCUAACUCCUCCAGCUCUGCCCCCAAUGCACUUCUGCCCCCUAACCCACCCACGUCUGCCUUUCUAACCCAUCGCUGCCCCAACUCCCCCUUUUCUGCCCCCCCCCAACAAACCCACUUCAGUUCUGCCCCUGACCCGGCCAUUUCAGCUCCCCAACCCCAUGGCCGCU